GAUGAACGCUGACAGAAUGCUUAACACAUGCAAGUCUUUGGCGAAGCUGUGCUUGCACAGCCUAGCCAAGGCGGACGGGUGAGUAACGCGUAAGGAACUUGCCCUGCAGUCAGGGAUAACAGACGGAAACGACUGAUAAGACCUGGUAAAGUCAGGCGGACUCAUGUCCAGCCUGAUGAAAAGAGAUGCUGCAGGAGAGCCUUGCGUCCUAUUAGCUUGUUGGUGGGGUAACGGCCCACCACGGCGAUGAUAGGUAGCCGGCCUGAGAGGGUGGACGGCCACAAGGGGACUGAGAGACGGCCCUUACGCCUACGGGAGGCAGCAGUGGGGAAUAUUGGACAAUGGGGGCAACCCUGAUCAAGCAAUUCUGUGUGCACGAUGAAGGUUUUCGGAGUGUAAAGUGCUUUCAGAAGGGAAGAAAAAAAUGACGGUACCUGCAGAAGAAGCGACGGCUAAAUACGUG
rnacentral:rRNA from 1 species